UAUAAAUUUUGAAUUGUAUAUGCAUGCUAGUCAUUUAGAAAUCCCAUGUGUUAAACUCAUAAUUUUCCCUUCAUGUACAUUAUUGCUCAAGAACCCUAAUCCCAUAUACAUCCAAGCCGCUCACUGAAUGAUAUUAUUCUUCCUGGCCAAAUCAUCUCUCUCUCACAACUCAUGUCACGGUGCCAAAUCCAAUUGACGUGUGUCAAAAGCCUGGGUAAGGAUGAUCAUUUAUUUCUGUACUACUGAGAGUUUGGACUAUUGAAGAAAAACUUCAACAUAACUUGAAUGUGAUUUGGAACGAUUUCCUAAAUCUCAUUCAUACUCUGGCCAGAGAUUCUUAAUCAUAUCAUAGAGUAUUCUCCCUCAAACAAUUUAAAGAUUAGAGAUCCCUUGUUGCGCAUUCACUUGCUUCCAUGGCUAAGUGGCUUAACCCCAACUAUGUCGUGGACACCCUCGGAUGGAGUGACUUUGACAUAGUCAAAGAUCAAGGACCUAACCACAAGACAACUAUGAUGCCUCAGGUUAAAGGACUACUUUGCAUUAUCCCAACCAUAAGUUCUCAUGUGACAUGAGUAUGAGAAUUUCUUGUUGAUCGCGUUUAGUGAACUCAUUCUCUAUUGAGCACCUACGUACUUGUCUUGGUGUCAGUCACACUAAUGACUUGAGACCAGUCACUCUCCCUAAGAGAAGACAUAGCACGUACUGAUCUUAACGGACUAUCAAUGCCUAAUUGGCAAUCCUAUGAUCAGGAAAGUUUAGGAUAUGUAUACGAAGGAGAAUGGUCUCAUGAAUCUAACUUCUUUAGAUCGCAUUCUACCAAUUACAUAUUCCUUGGACUUAUCGUUUAAGCGUAUAACAUUUAUAUGAGACGGCUUCAAACAAUAAUCUUUGCCCUUUAUAUUAAACUAGAUUAGUUUAACAUGUGAAAUGUCCGUAAAGUAAAGUAUCAUCAUAUGAUUGGUUUUAGGGCACAUUUCCAACAAUCUCCCACUUGCACUAGAGCCAAUCAACUUGGUCAUCAAUGAUGAUACCUCUUCUGUAGUCAUUUAAAAAAUGGCUGAGUAGUAGGCCUAGACAAUGGAUAUCUAUAUGUUAUCCAUAAAAGCAUCCUUGAGAAUAACAACGUCACCAUUAUACAUGAUUCUUAAUCAUGUGGUUUAGUCUCUCAUUUGAGUUCGGAUCAUGAUGAGACCUUGAUUCCCUGGCUUAAGCUAUCGCCCCAUUAGUGUUGUAGUGUCGGCACACUAGAGACACUUUCUGGUUGGAACUGAAUAGAGAGUUCAUGAAUGAACUUUCUCAUCCAAACAACAUUGUUGUAAGCUUCUAUAUGGCAAUAUAUUUUGCAUUCACAAUGGAACACAUUAAAGUCAUUACUUUUAGUCAUAAUAAAAGAUAUUUGAUUAUCUCUUCAUUCAUAAUGAAGAAACAACUAAUGAUGGAUUAGAUUCAUAAUCUAAUACAUUUACACUUCCAUUACGUUACUCUAAUUCUUCCUCAUUCUUUGAGGAAUCUAUCCUUUAGUAUUUCUUAAAUACUUA
rnacentral:lncRNA from 1 species